UCAGAUUUGAGGCACAGCUGCAGGGCUCCACAGGGGAAAGUUGCCAGACUUCCCUGUCUGUACCCACCUGGUGGAUAAACAGAAGACUUGAGUCUUGAGAACUAUCUAACACCUUUUGACAACUCUCCAUAGAAUAUAAGCCAAGUAGAAGACUCCACAAGUCUGGGAGAGCUACCAAAAUCCCUGCGGUCUGCAGCAAGGGAAAAUUUGGAAGAAACCAUCUCUCAGCAGCACUACUAUCAGCAAUUGCAAAAAGCCAAUCUUUGUUAUACUUCAGCGCUGCAUGGAUUCAGCUUUGAAGAACAUUAUUCAUGAUGUCCCAUCAAUGGCAAUAACAAUCUCCA